rnacentral:rRNA from 1 species
UACGUAGGGUGCGAGCGUUGUCCGGAAUUACUGGGCGUAAAGAGCUCGUAGGUGGUUUGUCGCGUUGUCCGUGAAAACUCACAACUCAAUUGUGGGCGUGCGGGCGAUACGGGCAGACUGGAGUACUGCAGGGGAGACUGGAAUUCCUGGUGUAGCGGUGGAAUGCGCAGAUAUCAGGAGGAACACCGGUGGCGAAGGCGCACAUCUGGCCCGAUACUGACGCUGAAGCGCGAAAGCUAGGGGAGCAAACGGG